rnacentral:lncRNA from 1 species
UUUCUGACACCAUGUAUACAUAAAAUCCAGAGCAUCUAUUGUUUGAUCCAAUCAUUGACAAUAACAAGUAUGAUCAGUAUCUCAUAUCAUCUUCAUAGUUCUAUUUUUUUAUAUUUUAUUUCUGUUGUAUUAUCUUCAUAUCAUUAUAUUUUUAUAAUUUGUGUUUAUUUCUGUUGUAACAAAUAUAACAGAAAUAAAAAAUAACAAUUACAAAAAUUGGAAUUCGAAUAGGUAAACUCCAUAGUGUGACUUUGUUGACUUCAAUAAAACAGAAACAAAACAAACAUACAUCUAUAUUAAAAAGAAAAAAGAACCCAAUCAUUCAUGUUAUUCACAAUUUGAUUAAUGUAUGGAUUUAAAACAUAUAGUAACAAUAGAAGGUGCUAUCUAUCUAUGUAUCCAAAAGGAAUUUUCAAACCCACAAAGCAUAAGUUCGUCCAUGACUUGGAAUAAUCAACUAAAAUAAAAUAAAUCAAAAAGGCAUACCAUCAGGUUGAGUACAAAGCAGGUCAGUCAUGAAGCGAGAUAGAAUGUCAUGGACGUUUGGGCGUGCUCCAUAGGCUUCCAUGGCUGCCCUCCUUGGGUUCACUUCAGGUCCCAAAGGUUCUUCAUCUUCUUCCUCCAUAUUAUAACACAGCCCUCUGCUCAACAAAUUAUGCAAAACCCUAAUUUCUAUGAUAUGCUCCAGUUAUUAUCACAUGUGCUACUUCAACAUUUCAAUGGUUGAAUAGUGCAUAUUUGGAGCUCAAUCCUCAUCACCCACUAAGGAAUACUGCUUUUUUACACACAAAAAAAGCCCUAUCUUAAUGUAAAGAAUUGGCCUUUCCCAACGGAAAGAAGUGUAACAAUAAAUUUGCACCGUGAAUGGCACUGUCUUGGGGAAGUUGUAUUUCAAUGACGAGAAAUCAUCCACUUAAAAAGGUCUGUUCAUUCAUUGUUUGACACAUGUAAAGCUCAGAAUCUACGCUUCCUCCUCGUCGGGCACGCUUUACGUGUGCCCUAAUUUAUUGCCCUCUUCUUCACCACUUCAACAUCGUAAUGUUGUGACCGAAACUCAGAAGGCUCAUGUUCUCCUGUUACCGGUUCGUUGAGUUGAGGUGAAACGGGUGUAUUUCGGACACUGUUUUGCAUUUGCGAAUCGACUCCUGUCGCUGCGUUUGAAUUUGUAAGCGGACACUUUGGGCGUUGCGUCUGGCAGGCUGUGCUUGCGUCCUUGCGAGUGUGAAGGGGUUCGUUGUCAACGAAGGGGGUUGAAAAACAGAACAGGGGCUGUCCUCUGUUGCUGCAUGCGUGAACUCGCAAUUGCAGAAGAGUCGAGCCAGGAUUGUGGAAGUGUGACGUUGUGCUCUUGAUACGCUGUGGUUUCAUCUUACAGAGCAUUGCUACUCUGAUUUGUCUGUGUUCCUUUCGCACUCAAAUUUGUGAUGGCGUACAUUUGAACCAUCAUUCUUGUGGUCGGAAAUUCUCGAGUAUCUGAAGCUGUGCAUCGUCGACUGCAGCCCGGGGAACUUUCCAUGGUAAUCGUGAGGUAUUCACUCUACACAAAGUCCUCGUGCCCUAUCUCGUUAGAUGUGUCUUAAACCACAAGAAUGAGGAAUUUGUGUCCGUACUUAUUGCAAAUUCAAAGAACCGAUUGCCGAAGUACAUCCCGGGAUUCAUCGUUUUCUGCUAUAGCUCAUUAAAUAGUCAGCAAAUGUAACCCAGUUAUAUUUCGCUGGACCCCGGCAAGCUUUUGGACACUGGUGGUUGCUAGAGGGGUUCGUAGAAUUUUAGAUGACCCCAUUCUCUUUGCUAGUUAAUUAUAUAAAGCUGUACUACCUUUGCCAUUCCAUGGGCACUUGGUCUAGUGGUAUGAUUCUCGCUUUGGGUGCGAGAGGUCGCGAGUUCGAUUCUCGCAGUGCCCCUCCGGAGUUGGGAGAUCGAUGUGAGGACAGUCGCUUAAGAGUGUAGUACCCUGGUUUCUAACGUCCCGUCUCUCCUUCGCAGAGAACACUCUGCGCAACAUGUACUUUACGGAGUCACAGCGCUCAGAUGCUGUUAACAGCUGCCUUUUGCAGUGUGACUUGACUGCCUAAGAUUUUUUUUCUUAUGAGAGGGCUAAAACUGAUCUCUUAUUCGCAGUCCAUAUCACACACAAACAGAGUCCCAACCAUGCACAAUCCCAGCUACUUGGUGACAGAGUACCAGGACAUGAGUGUUCAUAUUUUGUAAAUAUUGCAAUUCAGUCUGGCGUGCCUGUUGAGUGUAAGUGAAUUCUCUUAGUUAUUUGCCUGUCAUAUUCUCCAAUGGGUGUCAGCUUCGGUAAGUUAAAUACGCCUUCAUGGUUCCAUUUCUGCUAGUAUCUGAACAGAAAUGUGGAAUGGAAUUUAGAUCUGAGGAUUUAGGGUUGGAAUCACCAACUUUUGCACCUACUAGUGAUGCAGCUUUGUGGUAGCUGAUGACCUUCUGGUGAUGCAGCUUUGUGGUAGAUGAUGACCCUCUGGAAGCUUAGAAAAUGGUGCCUUUUGACCUAGUUUAGCUGAUGUGUUGGUACCUGGUUUGGGUGCUUCAUGGACCCAUCACAUCCUAAAGUAAUGAAUCCUGGUGGCAGUGUCUGCAGUGUAUUGUUCUGUAAGUUAUUUGUACUUGCUUGCUGACAAUUGGAGGUAGUAGCCAUCUUUGAACCUGGAAAUUUUGUUGCACAAAAUCUGUGGUGAUGGAACUUGUCCACAGUACAUAGAUUUGUUCACAUAAUUCCUUCCUGAGUGGCAAAUCCAAUCUUCAAUAUAGAUACUCCAGAAAUGUGACAGACCCACUUGAGUCUUGUGUACUGAAAAGGUAUUAUAUAUAUAUAUAUAUAUAUUAUUAUUAUUAUUAUUAUUAUUUCCAAAUCUACACUUUGAUUGAUUAGUGUGGGGAUGGCAGUUUGGAGAGGAAAUGAUGAAAUGCAUAGAUAAGCCUGGCAGGAAACUAUUAUGAUCCUUACAACCAACAUGGGACAUAGCUUCUUCAAAAUGCAAUGAUGUCCUGAAACAAAGUUUUACAUUUAAUUGGAAGGACAUAAGGUUCUGUUUGAAAAUUUGAUCUUCAUUCCAGAUUGAUUCAUAUGGUUGAUGUGUUGAUAAGCAAAUAUUGUGUGUGUGUGUGUGUGCAUUUUGUCAUGCAGUAUUUGAAUUUUAUGCUGGUUAGGCACAAUCACAACAUUAAUACAAUGUGAGUUAUUGUACUAUUAAUUCCAAAUUUCUUAUUUCAAUUUGUGUUUCAUUGAUAAUAGUUGACUCUAUGGGAAUUCAGGUCUGUGCAUAACAAAAUGAGUUGUUGUCUUGUAUAGUAAAGAAGUAACUUUAUGUUUGUCCUUUUUGACAAAAUAGUCCCAAUUUUGCUUGCAAUAUCUCAAUUGCCAUCUAUUUUUUAAGUUCAUUAUGUGAAUUUUUGCAAUAUUGCAGUAGAGAAGAAGGUAUAUUUCUUCCUUGCCAACAAAUGUUAUGAUCAACUCCUACUUGAUCCUUUUAUGCAAAUGGAUAAGAAAAGUUGCAAUUUUAAGGAAAUGUUCAGCAAUCAAAUGGAUCAGAAUUAUUAUUCAAAAAAAAGAAGAACAAGGAAUUCUCUUCUAAUUAUGGAAAUAACAGUUGAAAUAACUUUUCAUAUUGGUUUUCAGUUUACAAUAACUUGUUCUAAUUGUGAUGGCAUACUUAAAUUCUUGAUUAUUUUUAAAAACAAUUAAUGAAAUAAUAAUUCAACAAAACCUUCAGAUUGAAAAAUUAUUAUUCACAUUUAAGAAAUAGAAAGAAUAUCAUAAACCAAGAUAUUGAGAUUAA